ACGGGCACCUCAGGAACUACUUGC
rnacentral:siRNA from 1 species